UUCACACCCAGUUGUUCAUUCUAGUUCUAGUGGAAUCUUAUAUUAUCUUGUUGUGGGGUGGGGUGGGGUUUGCCUCUUCACUUUCUUCUACUAGUGUUAAUCCUCCAAACAUCAUAAUUAAAUUAUUCAUGCCCACCUCAGUUCUUAGUUCUCAUCCUUCAAUGGAUAUCUGCUAUUGGUGUAUUGUCUGAUAUUUUUUCCCUCUUAAUUUGCAGACCCCUUCCAUUGCUGUUGCAUAAGUGCAAGAAGAAUUUAGAUAAUAGAUGGAUGAUAUGCAGAAUAAUAGUGUAGAUGGAGAAGAUUCUAGAGAUGCCCCUACAAAAGAGGUGACCAAGAAAAGAUGUUGUGGACCUACUGUUAUGCAUGAGAUCACUCGUGAUAGUAGUGUAGGUCAAAGGAAAGUCAUCGAGUAUGUUGACAACGAAAUAUGUGAUGCCUUAAUCAUCAUGGGUUGGCUUACUGGUAGUGGGAAUAUCAAAAAAAGACCAAAGGGCCAAGGGAUCAUGGUUCAAUUCAUGGUGGCCACCUACCUAGGAUUUAAUAUCCUAUGUUGACACCCAAAUAUUGUAGGGUCAGGUAGGUUGUCCCGUGAGAUUAGUCAAGAUGCGCAUAAGCUGGCUUGGACACUACUGAUGUAAAAAAAAAAAAAAAAAGAACAAGAAAAGAAAAAAAAAGAAAUAUGUGUUGCCUUAUAAAGAUAACCUGGAAAGUUUGAAGUCUCCUCCAAAACUGUAUUCCCACGUUGAACAAGAACACUGGAAUACUUUGGUCAAUUCUAGACUUAAUGAAGAAUUUGAGGUAAAGGUUAAUAAUCUAUAAAAAUUUCUUCAAUAAUUUAUGAAGAGGUUGAGGCAAAAGAACCAAGCAAUGCGAGGGAAACACAUAUAUAAUCAUCGAAUGUCAUGAAAAGGAUAUGCCAAUUUAGCUGAAGAGCUGAAAAAGUCAUCUGGUGAAAACUCAAAUGAACGAUGCAUUCUAUGGAAGAGUGCUCGAAUGAAUAAUGAAGGAAUGAUUGUUGAUCAAACAAACUCAAGAAGUGUGACUCGUCUAUCCCUAAGCUUUAAAAAAUGUCCAAUUCUAGUCUUUGAACUUUUAAAAAGUGCUUAUUUUAGUCUCUAUUAUUAAAAUUCUAUUAAGUCUUAAAUAUAAUGGUGAAAUAACUUAUAUUUUUGGAUGACUAUGCUGUCAAAUAAGUCAGUCAUGUUGAAAAAAAUCUAGGGUUUCAAUUUUAAAUUAGGUGAUAAAGUGAUUUUCUAUAGGAUAUCUCAAAGGUCAUUUUGCAUCUAAAAUUUUGGCCGUUCACUAUUUUAGCACGUUGGUUGUUGAUAUUUCACUUUACCUUCAUCUUGCUCAAUCCAUGCUAGAUGCAAUUUCAUUCCUCAACAAAUUUCAUCUUUAAAAUGUCCAACUUAAUAUUAAGAGUAGAGUUUAAAAUAAAAGCUUUUUAAAAGUUCAGGGACUAAAAUGGACGUUUUUGAAAGUUUAGGAACAAAAAUAAAACCAGGUUAAAAGUUCAGGAACCAAAAUAGGAUUUAACUUUCUUUUUUAUAUUUUCCCAUCACGUUUAGGAUGAGAUAUUGGCUGCCCAAGCUCAUAAUUGUGAUGCCAAAUCAACUACGGAGGAUGUGUUAUCACUAACAUUGGGUACCCCAGAUCAUCGUGGACAAGUUCGAGGGGUAGGUAGAUUUAUCACGCCCUCUCAGUAUUUUCAAAAACCUAAACCAUCUUCAAGAUCAAAGGCGCAAGCACCUAAAGUGGGAAUAGAAAAAGUUUAUAAGCGUUGUUAAAAAAAAAAAAAUGAAGUUUCUGAGUCAGAAGUUUCGAGUGCAUGCAGUGCAUUACCAGGAUUGGAAAAAGGAGUAGUUUCAAACAAGAAGUCUAGAGUUAGAUGUACUCCGAGGAGUAAGAAAUUCCGGUCAAGAAUUUAGAGUCUAACAGGUAAUGAAUGUGCCUAUCUUAGCAUUCCAUUGAAUGAAUGUAUAGAAUUAUUGAAUGACUAAUGCAUAAUGACUAAGAUAUGUACUGUUCUGUUGAGUUUUUGCUAUUACAUUUGAUGUUAUUAACCAUUUUCCUCUUAUGUUAGCUGACAACUAAAACUAGCUCUGUCCCUUUUAAGUUAAAUAAUUGCAGGGUGAGGUAUUGAACUUCAACUUUUGGUAAAGUGAUAAUUGGAACUAUAAGUUCUAAUAUAAUGGAGAUAUUGUUAGAUCUGCAGUGGUCAAUCGUUUGCUGGAGAGAGUUAACAGCAUGAAUCAUAUCAUUAGAUCCUUCCUUUUCUUUGUUGGGUUUACAGUAGGUGUACUUCUUGCAAGGGCACAGCACAGUAGAGGAUUUGGAUGACAUGAUUGUAUUUCUUCUAUUUGAUGAUUCUGUUUUCUUGAGACUUUUAGUGUUAGCUGGGCUUGGUUUCAAGUGUUCUUGAAUGAUGGAGGAGAUGCUCUUCCACCCCCCCUUUCAAAUGGUGCAUCCUAUUGCAGUUGUAGUUUUCUUUCUUUGUUCUCAAUGAAACCAAUGUU